CGGCGCGCCUAACACAUGCAAGUCGAACGAGCGAGAGAGAGCUUGCUUUCUCAAGCGAGUGGCGAACGGGUGAGUAACGCGUGAGGAACCUGCCUCAAAGAGGGGGACAACAGUUGGAAACGACUGCUAAUACCGCAUAAGCCCACGGCUCGGCAUCGAGCAGAGGGAAAAGGAGCAAUCCGCUUUGAGAUGGCCUCGCGUCCGAUUAGCUAGUUGGUGAGGUAACGGCCCACCAAGGCGACGAUCGGUAGCCGGACUGAGAGGUUGAACGGCCACAUUGGGACUGAGACACGGCCCAGACUCCUACGGGAGGCAGCAGUGGGGAAUAUUGCACAAUGGGGGAAACCCUGAUGCAGCGACGCCGCGUGGAGGAAGAAGGUCUUCGGAUUGUAAACUCCUGUUGUUGAGGAAGAUAAUGACGGUACUCAACAAGGAAGUGACGGCUAACUACGUGCCAGCAGCCGCGGUAAAACGUAGGUCACAAGCGUUGUCCGGAAUUACUGGGUGUAAAGGGAGCGCAGGCGGGAAGACAAGUUGGAAGUGAAAUCCAUGGGCUCAACCCAUGAACUGCUUUCAAAACUGUUUUUCUUGAGUAGUGCAGAGGUAGGCGGAAUUCCCGGUGUAGCGGUGGAAUGCGUAGAUAUCGGGAGGAACACCAGUGGCGAAGGCGGCCUACUGGGCACCAACUGACGCUGAGGCUCGAAAGUGUG
rnacentral:rRNA from 1 species